rnacentral:lncRNA from 1 species
CAUCUUGUGGACCUAUUUUGGAACAUAUCACUACUAAAGCUUUUCCAAUGAGCAGAAUAAAGGGAUAAAAGAAGAAUGAAGGAAUCCUAAUUAAAGGGAUCAAACAUCUCAGUUGAGGUAAGGGAUCUACCAGUUCUCCAUCUCCAGUACCUGGUACACAGCAGAUGCUCAAUUGUUC